ensembl:snRNA U4 U4 spliceosomal RNA
AGCUUUGUGCAGUGGCAGUAUCAUAGCCAAUGAGGUUUAUCUGAGGUACAAUUAUUGCUAAUUGAAAAUAAAGAAAGCUUUGGCUUUGAUAGCU